rnacentral:SRP_RNA from 1 species
UCGUGCUAGGUGGGGAGGUAGCGGUGCCCUGUACCUGCAAACCGCUAUAGCAGGGCUGAAUUCCUAACCGAGGUUUAUAUUCUUUAGGGUCUGCCCCUGGCAAGUGGUGAUGAGGGUUGGGUCCUGUGCGACGUGAGCUCAUGAACCCCGUCAGGUCCGGAAGGAAGCAGCGGUAAGUGAACCCUUGCGGGUGCCGCAGGGUUGCCUGGUCCGAACUAACUACUAGGGUAACGCCUGGGGAAUUAAAUCGACGAAAGGUGCACGG